CAUGAAAGAGAAAUGAUAGAUUUCAUAGAAAUAAAUUGAUUACAAAGGUAGAAAUGAAGAUUGGUAGCAUGAUGCUGCCUUUCUUCUACAAAUAAAAUAAAAAAAGAAAAAAAUAACAAAAAUCAAAGAAAACUUUCUUCUGCAAAUAAAAUAAAAAAAAGAAAGAAAUAACAAAAAUCAAAGAAAACUUCUUCCUCUCGGUGGAACAUAAAAUACUAUUUUUUCUUCUUUUUCUUUUCUUCCCCAAAACAGAGCUUCCUCUGUUUUUCUUUCUCUCUUCUCUCCCAAACCGAUGGCCUCUUCCCCUCUGUUCUUUGGCUCCACCGAGCUCCUCUUCUCCCUUGCCAAUGGCUCCCUUAUAUAGACCCCCAGCAAGCACGUGGAUGGCUGGAUUAUUGGAGGAAGGAGAGGGUGGACGCGGUGGAAGCUGGGAUCACGGAAUCGCUGGGGCUUCCUUCACGGAUGGAAGAUCUGGGAAGGGACGCGAUGCUUGGGUGGAUCGCGGAUUGCGGCUGGAUCGGCUCCAAUAAUCUGCUGCUGUGGCCGGAAGAAGAGGAGAUGGGAGGAGGCGAUGAUCCGCGGAAGAGGGCUGAAGAAGAAGCGGCUGGAUCACG
rnacentral:lncRNA from 1 species